rnacentral:rRNA from 1 species
AUGAACGCUGGCGGCGUGCCUAAUACAUGCAAGUCGAGCGAACAGACGAGGAGCUUGCUCCUCUGACGUUAGCGGCGGCCGGGUGAGUAACACGUGGAUAACCUACCUAUAAGACUGGGAUAACUUCGGGAAACCGGAGCUAAUACCGGAUAAUAUAUUGAACCGCAUGGUUCAAUAGUGAAAGACGGUUUUGCUGUCACUUAUAGAUGGAUCCGCGCCGCAUUAGCUAGUUGGUAAGGUAACGGCUUACCAAGGCGACGAUGCGUAGCCGACCUGAGAGGGUGAUAGGCCACACUGGAACUGAGACACGGUCCAGACUCCUACGGGAGGCAGCAGUAGGGAAUCUUCCGCAAUGGGCGAAAGCCUGACGGAGCAACGCCGCGUGAGUGAUGAAGGUCUUCGGAUCGUAAAACUCUGUUAUUAGGGAAGAACAAAUGUGUAAGUAACUAUGCACGUCUUGACGGUACCUAAUCAGAAAGCCACGGCUAACUACGUG